GCCUACCGCAGAAACGAAAAGCCCAGUUUCCAUAAUCUCAUGUAACAUUUUUUGCUAUUAUUAACAAUAAAUUGGGGCUAUAAAUAGCAUAGGCAGAGCUUAGCAAAAGUAAAACUCACUACCCCACAACAAAUCAUGUCCGGGGAAAUCAUAUAGUAUCACAUAAACUAACUCCACAACCUACAACAAUGAGAACAAAUUUCAACAGUAAAGCAUGUUAAGUAAUCCUGAUUUUGUUUAAGCACAAAUAAAAACACUUAAAAGUAUUCAAGAACCUGAAUUUUGUUUAGGCAAAAAUACCAACUAUUAAAGCAUGUCCAAGAAUACAAGGGGGAAAAAAUAAAAAAAUAACAAAAUAAAAAGAAGGAAAAGAAAAGCAAGGAAUCACAAAUAUUUGUGAUUCUAGGUCAAAACAAAUCCAAAAUGCAAUACAUGCAAUACCACUGUGAUUGAGCUCA
rnacentral:misc_RNA from 1 species